rnacentral:miRNA from 14 species
ACAUGUAUGUAUGCAUGUACAUAUUGUAUAUAUGCAUGUAUACAUAUGUAUUUAUGUAUACUUAUAUGCAUUACACACACAUAUAAAAU